rnacentral:lncRNA from 1 species
GCCCUUCCUUACCUGAGGCUCCCCUGCAAUGACACCAGCACCCUCUCAGGGGCCCAUGAUAGCAGAGACCUCUGUACUCACGAUCCUCUUCCCCUUCUCACCUCGCCUUCCUCCUGGGGAGCACAGCUGCCGAUAACACUGCCUGCUCUGUUCCUGCCUCAGUUGCUCUGCACAAAUCACCUGGUUUCUUCAGUCCUUCCCUGUUCUGUGUGCCCACCCAUCUCAGGGUGACAUCGUUAACAGAUGAUUUUCUCACUCUGGGAAAGCACCAUGUCCCUUCAUGGUUUGAGCAUGGUCUUCAGGCCCUGGUCUCAUUUUCUCUUCUGUGUGCAGAACACGGUCACUCCUCUCUCAAGACAGACAUGAGUACCUUCCCCUGAGGUGAAGGUUUGCAAACACCCCCCCCAACAUAUGCUCACUGUCUUCAACCCUCCAUGAACAUUCCCAUGGGGACACCGAGAGGGGCUGGUCUCAAGUCAUCGACAUCCAGCUCACCCCUGGAGACCUAGAACAGUGAGGAGGACUCACAGGCCCACAAGCUGCAGGCACCUUGCAGGGAUGGCCCCCAGAGCCAGCCUGGACUGAGGGAUGCUGCCUGCAGGUCUCCUGUUCCUGUCCUGUACCCAGAGAGGAGGCACAGGGUUCUGUCUUAGGCCCUUGUCACCCUGACAUGGCCACGCCCACCCCAGGGCCUUACUCUCCAGGCCUGUACACCAGCCUCAUGCUGUGGGCCCUGCUCCUGCCACUCAAGGUCAGGGUUCAAUUAUGCUGAGCCAAGAAAUCAGUGUUUGUGCUUCUUUCCCAGAUCUUCUACUUCAUGCACAGAGAAGCCUCUACUUACCUGAGGUUCUCCGGCAGUGACACCAGCACACUCUCAUGGGCUCAUCAUAGCAGACACCUCGGGACAGAGUCCCUCUGCUCUGUGUUCCCUGUGUCUUGUCCUCAUCUCCACAGCAGUUCCUGGCUCUCCUGGAAAAGGACUGCACAGAUCCCUCCCGCUAGAACCCAGGCCAUGGAGGAAUCCUGAUUAGAGACGACACCCCAGACCUCUACCCAUCCCUGGAGGGUUACUCUCACAUGGUGGGAGCACAGGAGUCAGAGAAGCAGAAGAGGAGGCUUGCCUGGGGUGAGAAAGAAGGGGAGUUGACCAGAGACCAGCAAGGGGAAGUAGGAUGGAGUCUGUGGGUUUUUGCAGGACAGGGGUCCCAGUUAUGCAGUCCUUCCUCUGACAUAGUCCUGGGGCUGGGUACCUUGCCUUUAGUGGGAACUAAAUAGUCAUGUCCUCUCUGAACUGGGAUGGGUACUUGGACCUGGGCCGGUGUGGGUCCCAGCAGCUACUUCCUCCAGGCCCACCAGGGGGAAGCUAGUGCAUCAUCAAUCCUCCCUGUCACAGGGCCAC